rnacentral:rRNA from 1 species
AUUGAACGCUGGCGGCGUGCCUAACACAUGCAAGUCGAGCGGUAACAGGUGUAGCAAUACAUGCUGACGAGCGGCGAACGGGUGAGUAGUGCUUCGGAAUCUUCCCAUGUAGUGGGGAAUAACCAGCCGAAAGGUUGGCUAAUACCGCAUACGGUCCCCUUUUCUAUCGAAGAGGGGAGAAAGCAGGGGAUCGCAAGACCUUGCGCUAUUGGAUGAGCCGAAGUCGGAUUAGCUAGUUGGUAGGGUAACGGCCUACCAAGGCGACAAUCCGUAGCUGGUCUGAGAGGACGACCAGCCACACUGGGACUGAGACAACGGCCCAGACUCCUACGGGAGGCAGCAGUGGGG